AUUGAACGCUGGCGGCAGACCUAACACAUGCAAGUCGAGCGGAUGAAGAGAGCUUGCUCUCUGAUUUAGCGGCGGACGGGUGAGUAAUGCCUAGGAAUCUGCCUGGUAGUGGGGGAUAACGUUCCGAAAGGAACGCUAAUACCGCGUACGUCCUACGGGAGAAAGCAGGGGACCUUCGGGCCUUGCGCUAUCAGAUGAGCCUAGGUCGGAUUAGCUAGUUGGUGAGGUAAUGGCUCACCAAGGCGACGAUCCGUAACUGGUCUGAGAGGAUGAUCAGUCACACUGGAACUGAGACACGGUCCAGACUCCUACGGGAGGCAGCAGUGGGGAAUAUUGGACAAUGGGCGAAAGCCUGAUCCAGCCAUGCCGCGUGUGUGAAGAAGGUCUUCGGAUUGUAAAGCACUUUAAGUUGGGAGGAAGGGCAGUAAGUUAAUACCUUGCUGCUUUGACGUUACCGACAGAAUAAGCACCGGCUAACUUCGUGCCAGCCGCCGCCGUAAUAC
rnacentral:rRNA from 1 species